CGGCCAGAGACGCACAAGAAGCUGCAGGCUCUGCUUUAAACCAGACUACCGACACAGAACCAGAGCUGGAGGACGUGAUGAAACUGUUUGAGCUUUUAAAACAAAAAAACUCCAACCAGACGGUUCAGAGUGAAGCCAGAGAACGUCUGAAGAACAUCGUGGAGGAGGCGGAGAAGAUGAAGAAACAGGUGGAGGACAAACUGCAACAGAUACAAGAUAGCCUGGCUCCAUGUCGGUUUGGGUGGAGACCAUCAUGUUUCAGCAGGCUGGGCCUCUCCCAGAACAAGUUGAAGUUGUCGACAUAGGGAAUGCCCAGGGAAGCGCAGUUG
rnacentral:lncRNA from 1 species